GACGAACGCUGGCGGCGUGCCUAAUACAUGCAAGUUGAGCGCUGAAGGUUGGUACUUGUACCAACUGGAUGAGCAGCGAACGGGUGAGUAACGCGUGGGGAAUCUGCCUUUGAGCGGGGGACAACAUUUGGAAACGAAUGCUAAUACCGCAUAAAAACUUUAAACACAAGUUUUAAGUUUGAAAGAUGCAAUUGCAUCACUCAAAGAUGAUCCCGCGUUGUAUUAGCUAGUUGGUGAGGUAAAGGCUCACCAAGGCGAUGAUACAUAGCCGACCUGAGAGGGUGAUCGGCCACAUUGGGACUGAGACACGGCCCAAACUCCUACGGGAGGCAGCAGUAGGGAAUCUUCGGCAAUGGACGAAAGUCUGACCGAGCAACGCCGCGUGAGUGAAGAAGGUUUUCGGAUCGUAAAACUCUGUUGGUAGAGGAGAACGUUGGUGAGAGUGGAAAGCUCAUCAAGUGACGGUAACUACCCAGAAAGGGACGGCUAACUACGU
rnacentral:rRNA from 1 species